rnacentral:rRNA from 1 species
AUUGAACGCUGGCGGCAUGCCUUACACAUGCAAGUCGAACGGCAGCGCGGACUUCGGUCUGGCGGCGAGUGGCGAACGGGUGAGUAAUACAUCGGAACGUACCCUGUUGUGGGGGAUAACUAGUCGAAAGAUUAGCUAAUACCGCAUACGACCUGAGGGUGAAAGUGGGGGACCGCAAGGCCUCACGCAGCAGGAGCGGCCGAUGUCUGAUUAGCUAGUUGGUGGGGUAAAGGCCCACCAAGGCGACGAUCAGUAGCUAGUCUGAGAGGACGAUCAGCCACACUGGGACUGAGACACGGCCCAGACUCCUACGGGAGGCAGCAGUGGGGAAUUUUGGACAAUGGGGGCAACCCUGAUCCAGCAAUGCCGCGUGUGAAGAAGGCCUUCGGGUUGUAAAGCACUUUUGUCCGGAAAGAAAUCGCGCUGGUUAAUACCUGGCGUGGAUGACGGUACCGGAAGAAUAAGCACCGGCUAACUACGUG